rnacentral:lncRNA from 1 species
UAGCUGUUUGCCUUGAAAAAAAAUCUUUCCGUCAAUUUGUAGCCUUCUCUUGAGCGUUCGGCUUCCCUAAGCCGCUUUGAGCGCUCCUUAUGGGAAUGGUUGACCUGGUUGGUGGAUCACUUCCCCAACAGAUGCCCUCAACUUCUGAUUUCGAAGCAGUCUUUCAACUUAUGGUGAAGGAAGUUAUCACCUUGGUAGUUGUUCUUUUGUCAUUGUAGCCAUUAGGAGAAGAUUCUCUUUUCUUUGUCUUGUAGUCAUAAAGCCGUCGCUGUCAUCCAUUAAACUAGUAGUGAAGAAAAAGAUAAGCUCCUCAAGUAGGGAUUCCUCGUCCAAGAGGGUAAGGAGCAUCCAACUAGAACUAUCUAUUUUUGAUCCAUCACAAUCCCUGGUGGGGACUGGGGAUG